rnacentral:rRNA from 1 species
UGGGGAAUAUUGCACAAUGGGCGCAAGCCUGAUGCAGCCAUGCCGCGUGUGUGAAGAAGGCCUUCGGGUUGUAAAGCUCUGUCUUUUGGGACGAUAAUGACGGUACCAAAGGAGGAAGCCACGGCUAACUACGUGCCAGCAGCCGCGGUAAUACGUAGGUGGCAAGCGUUGUCCGGAUUUACUGGGCGUAAAGGAUGCGUAGGCGGAUUUUUAAGUGAGAUGUGAAAACCCUAAGCUUAACUUGGGGACUGCAUUUCAUACUGGAAAUCUAGAGUGCGGGAGAGGAGAAUGGAAUUCCUAGUGUAGCGGUGAAAUGCGUAGAGAUUAGGAAGAACACCAGUGGCGAAGGCGAUUCUCUGGACCGUAACUGACGCUGAGGCAUGAAAGCGUGGGUAGCAAACAGGAUUAGAUACCCUGGUAGUCCACGCCGUAAACGAUGAGUACUAGGUGUAGGAGGUAUCGACCCCUUCUGUGCCGCAGUUAACACAAUAAGUACUCCGCCUGGGGAAGUACGAUCGCAAGAUUAAAAACUCAAAUGAAUUGACGGGGGUCAUAGCUGUUUUUCCU